UAUUACAUUUAUAGUUGUACAACAAUCACCACAACCCAAUUUUAUAGCAUUUCCAUCCCUAAGCCCCCAGCCCUUCCCCCCAUCCCCCAACCUGUUUCAUUAGGAAACAAUGUGUUUUCCAAAGUCUGUGAGUCAGUAUCUGUUCUGCAAAGAAAUUCAUUGUGUCCUUUUUUUAGAUUCUACAUGUAAAUGAUAGCUUAGGAUGUUGGUGUCUCACUGUCUGACUUCACUUAGCAUGAUCAUUUCUAGGUACAUCCUAAUGCCACUGUUUCUUUCCUUUUAAUGGCUGAGUCAUAUUCCAUUGUGUAUAUGUACCACAUCUUCUUGAUCCACUCCUCCGUCGAUGGACAUUGAGGUUGUUUCCAUGUCUUGGCUAUUGUAUGUAGUGAUGCCAUAAACAUUGGAGUACAUGUAUCUUUUCAAGUCAUGGUUUUCUCUGGAUGGACGCCCAGGAGUGGGAUUGUUGGAUCAAAUGGUAAUUCUGUUUAGUUUUCUGAGGAAUCUCCAUACUGUUUUCCACAGUGGUUGUACCAAUUGAUAUUCCCACCAACAGUGUAAGAGGAUUCCCUUUUCUCUACACCCUCUCCACCAUUUAUUGUUUGUAGACUUUUUGAUGAUGGCCAUACUGGCUGGCAUAAGGUGGUACCUCAUAGUGGUUUUGAUUUGCAUUUCUCUAAUAAUGAGUGAUGUUGAACAUCUUUUCAUGUGUUUUUUGACCAUCUGUAUGUCUUCUUUAGAGAACUGUCUAUUUAGAUGAUCUGCCCAUUUUUUAAAUGGGGUUGUUUGUUUUUUUGGGUAUUGAGCUGCAGAAGGUGUUUUUAUAUUUUAGAGAUUAAUCCCUUUUCAGCCACUUCAUUUGCAAAUAAAUACUUUCUUCCAUUCUGUGGAUUGUCUUUUCAUUUUGUUUAGGGUUCGCUUUGCUGUGCAGAAACUUUUAAGUUUAAUUAAGUCCCAUUUAUUUAUUUUUGUUUUUAUUGUCAUUACUCUAGGAGGUGGAUCUGAGAAGACAUUGCUGUGGUUUAUAUCAGAGAGGGUUUGGUCUAUGUUUUCCUCUAAGAGAUUUAUAGUGUUUGGUCUUACAUUUAGGUCUUUAAUCCAUUUUGGGUUUAUUUUUCUGUAUGGUGUUAGGAAGUGUUAUAAUUUUAUUCUUUUACAGACGUCCAGUUUUCCCAGCCCACAAUUUUUAACAGAGGGUUCAUUCUGGAGCAUGUCCAGGGCCAUGGGAGGGACUCAGGACCCAUGAGUUUGGCCAUCUCCUUAAGGAAUGAAUGGUGUAUACCUUGGAGAAGGGAAGCCUUGGUUUCUUUAAAUAUUUGAAGUGUUUCCACUUGGGAAGGGUUAGACUUACUCUUGGUAGCUCUAGGGACCAGAGCUAGGACCAGCGAGUCAGUGGAAGUUAUAGUCAAGCACGUUGCAGCUCAUCAUAAGCAGGAACUUGCCAACACUUUCAGAGUAGCCCAAUAGAAAAGGCUGCUUCUGAAGGUGGCGAGUUCCCUGUCAGUCAUUGGAGAUGUGCAGGUUGGACAUGACUUACUGUCUUGACAGAGAAAGUGUUCCCAUACAGAAAAAAGGUUAAGCUUUCUGAAGGGAUUCUGAAUGCUGACAUUUUAUUGUUUUAUGAUCAUUUCCUCUUUUUAUCAAAAGAUGUAUUAAGGUGUGUGUGCACAUGUGUGCGUGUAUGUAUAUGCAUGUGGCAGCAGAGUGCAUGCUGGUGGGUGCUCCUUAAGAGGAAUUAUGAUUUACUUUAGGAAAAAACAGAAGUUAGUUUAUUCAUUAUUCAAGACAUGUUUUUCGAGUGCCUCCUAGAAGCCAAUUUCUGUGCCAGAUAUUGCUGAUUCAGAAUUUUGAAAGAACACAGUUCUGGUCCAGAAGGAGGUCUCAGUCUAGUGGAGGAAACUGACUAGUAAACAGAAGAUGAUAAUAGGCUAUGGUGAAUGCAAUGAGGGCAGCAGGUCCAUUGAUGAUCUGGGAUCUAUACACUCAGCCUCAUCUCAUACCCACAGUCUCAUGCUUUCCUCUCCAAAAGCACAGACCUCUCAGCAUUUCCACUCACCUCUGAUGGAAUUUCACUCCAGUGUCUUUGCUCAUUCUCUUCCUCUGCUGGGCCUCCUUAGACCACCUCAGUUAGUCAAAGGCAUACCCAUCCCAAGCAGGAAUUCAUCCCUAGCCCCUCAAAUACGCAGGCUGGGUAAGAUCUUCAGUAUGUCCUAUGGAUGUAUGGGGGCUGCAACAUUAACUGAGGAAUUAAGAAAUACGGCAGAGUUUCUCUAGACUCCAUUUGUGUUGGCCUCCUGUUUGUACACAAACAUCUCUUUCAAUGCCAACAGAGAAAACAUACCUGUGGUGGAAAUUCUGUUUGUUUUGCUGAUCAGCAAGUGACAUGCUUGUUGCAAGUAAAUAAGCAUAACAAAAGACUACAUUUUUCCUUCUUCUUUUUGCCUCUGGAGGUGUUUUUGUCAUGUUGCUAAGUUACCACCGAUGGAAGAUUCUACUUUGGGGAAUGGAAGUUAUUUUAAAAGAUCAAAUGAACAUCUUACCAGAGACCUUCCUUUGCAGUUUAGCGAGGGUCUGCAGCGGGCUGAGGAAGAUGGAUGUGUGAAGAAGGAACCCCCAAAUUCUCAGAGACAUAAGAAGCAUUUGAAUCACGAUAGAGAGGUGAAAACUGGAGUCCAUCACCAAGGAAAAGAGUCAAGUCAGGAAGUUGGAGUAUUGAACCAAUAAACUGUCCAAUACCCUUUUGAAGAUCUUUUGCCAUAGACUAGAAUAGAGACAAGGAAUGGUCCUCUUCUUCAAAGAGCAAAUGGUGAUGGGUUCCCAAUACUUUCUGGGCCUCUUGCCUCAUCUCUGCUGGAUCGGCUCCUCCUGAGGUGUUUAGGAUUCCAGGGAUUUAUUUGUUCACUUAGCAAAUAAUUAUCGAGCCGGACGGAGAUAUGGCAUAACAAGACAGAUGGGGCCAUUCCCUCAUGGGGUGCUCUUUCUGUUCCUGCUAGAAUGCUCUUGUAUUUGUCAGGACUUUCUAUCUAUGUGGGUGACAAAAACCCACAUUAAACUGGCAGAAGUGAAACAAAGAUGAAUUUGCUUUAGAAACUGUGAAGUCCAGCGGUGGAAGGUAGAGUCAGGCAUGGCUGGGUUCAGUGACUCAGAUGAUGUUAAGGAGGCUGCCUUUCUCCUCUCUGCUCAUCUUUGCUUCCUUAGUUUGUGACUUCACUCUGUCAUAGCACAGACAGGAUCCUUCCAUAUAGCCAUGGGAGAUGUUUGCUAACAGAUCCCAGGAGUCCUGGUUGCAAUUCAGAACCCCCACUUAGAAAGAGAACUUAUCUUUUUAAAUGCCCAUCUAUUAACCUUAUGAAAGGGCCCUGACUGGCUCUACUCAGACCAUGUUCUCAUCUGUGCUCCAAUCAAAGCCAGCCGUGAUUGGCCAGGCCUAUUGCUUGGAAUGGGAGGUGAGGGGUGGAGGAGCAGAUGGGUCUGUGCAAGCUAGGGAAACUGGAGAGAGAAAUGUAUUGAUUGACUAAAAACAAUUAAACUUUAUGACCCAGCUGACCUAGUCAGAAGACUUAAGAGUCCUUUAAACCCUGUGCUUGUUGAUCAGUACCUCCGGACCCAGCCUCCCCUAUUUGCUCUUUCUUUGGCCACAUGUCCGUCAGUAAAAGAGACCUGUUAGGAGAAAGGGCCUCCUGGCUUAUCAGGGAAUAAAAUUAGGACCAUUUCAUUCUUCCCCUCAGAAGUUCCAGCCUAGUUACAGUGGCUCCAUUGAUGUUUCCUUGACUCAUAAUAGGACAGAUAAAAGUUGAAAGAUGCAACUAUCAUGAGUUUGGCAAGACACAAACACAAGUGGGAUCACCUUCAAAUGAUCCAUAUUCAUUAACCUGCAGGUUUCCUUUUUCUUUUUUUUGGCCAUGCCCACAGCAAGCAGAAGUUCCCAGAAAAAAAUAGCUUUAUUGCUUUGCCAGGCAAAGGAGGUCACAGUAGGCUUAUGCUCUGUAGACUGCCCUCCCUUGGGAGAGACUAGGAAGUGCUACAGUCAAUUUAAAAAGAUACAGAAGUCCAGCAAGGAGCUCAAGAACAUGAUAAGUAUAUUUGUGAGAAUUGAGUGGUGAUAAAACAAUGCACCAAAUCGCUAUCAUCACCAUAGACUAGAACGAUAAAGAAUAUGAGGCCAGCUGAAACUGUUUUUAAGGGUUUUUUUAAAUGGCCUUCUUUGGCUGGAGUUAUGCCUGUGGUCAUUAGAAAGGUUUUCUGGACAAGGUGGAACAUAACGUGGAGUUAACAGAGAAGAUCCUGUACAAAGGGUAGAGUUUUUCCCUUGUACUGACCAUGAUUUGCUUAGCUUCCUCUCAUACAAGCUUUAUGAUAGGGUGCUACCUAUUCUUACUCUUGAUAAAUGUCACUGGGGAGACAUGAAAGAGCCCAGCCUCCUGUGCAUGAGAAAAGAACUUAAAAAGUUGGAGAUGAGAGGGGUAUUUGAAACACUUAGCCUAAAUGUAUCAGCUCCAAACAUAAAGAUUAUAAAAAGAAACUUGUGUCUUUGGGGGGCCAUUUCUGGCCUUUGAAGUUGGUAUUAACCAAAUAAUGAUUUCCUUCCAAACUUGUGGAAUGAGCGUUGCCAUAGUUACUUCCUACAAGAAUGACAAGCAAUGGCACAUGUUGCAGUUGACCAUUCAUGAAGCACCAGGCUGCCUCACCAUUCACCCAAACUGUCCUGGGUAGAUAUCCCAAUGGAAAAACUGGGCUUACAGGGCUAAUAGCCGUCUCUCAGACUUCUAAUUUUUUCCUCAAAGUUUCUACAUCCUCCAAAUCCGAUUUUCAUAUUCUCUGGGUUUUUACCAUAUUUUUCUGAAAUCGGGGUCCAGGCUGUGCUGAGAGAGCCAGCUUCCUCUAGCAUGUUCCAUAGCGUGUUCUGGUGUGUUGCAUGCAAUUGAUCAGGCAGUGAUCCAACUCUUGGCUGAAGUGCAGCACCCAGGGCUUGCUCCCCCAGUCCUGGAGGGGGGGGAAACCUCCUCCUUCUGAGUCACUGUGAGCCUCCUGCAGAUAUGCUUCCUGCCCUCUGGAAGAUGUCAGAAGAGAGUCCUGAAAUGAAGGCUUCCUUCCUCUGUUUCAGAAAGUUGACUUGUAGGUAAAUCUGAGAGAAACACCAGAGACGAGUUUGGAGAAGAGACAUCCUAGGUUUACGCCAUCUUGAAGUAGUUGUGAAUCCCAGGUCUGCCAGUAAUGGGCUAUGUCCUGGGGUAAAUAAAUGACUCUCCCGUAGUUCCUGCUGUGGCUCAGUGGGUUAAGAUCCUGAUGUACUGUGAAGAUAUGCGUUUUAUCUGCGGCCUUGCUCAGUGGGUUAAAGAUCCUGUGUGGCUGUGGCUGUGGCGUAGAUCUGCAGCUGCAGCUCUUGUUCAGCCCCUAGCCCGGGAACUUCAACAUGGUGUGGGUGUGGCCCUAAAAAGACACACACCCACACCCACCCACAUACCCACCCACUCACACAAAAGGCUUUUUCCCUCUGGGUCUUGGUUUCUUCAGGUGUAAAGUGAGAGUAAUAAUACCUACUUGACCAUCUUAUAUGAGGUAAUUAAAAUAGUUAAUGUCUAUUCAGCUUUUUUUUUGCCCCGUAGGUUGCUGUAGGGGCUUUAUUCCUGUAAUCCUUCUGUGCAGAGCGAUAUUAUUAUUAUUGUGACUAUUUUAUAGAUAAGGACACUGAGAAUCAAGACUUAAGUGACCAUGCAGCUGGUAAAAGGCAGAGCCAGCUUUCUAAUCAGGGCAGUAUCACCAUAAAAGUAGUGCUGCUAAUCACUCCCCAGUAACCCACAGCAUCUGGCACGAAGCUCCAUAAAUAAUACAGUGAGUGGUAUUGGGGGUACAUGUGAUGGAGAGAAUAGCUGGUCAUGGACAGGAAUGAGCUGUUGGGUGAGCUUUGGAAUUGGGGCAUGAGGUAGGCAGGGAGAACCCCCCCACCCCACUUUCCUACUCCAGCCAGACCCUUAGCGGCUGUGACUGGUUCAAACCCAUAAUGCCCAGUAUGAGGCCAAGGCUGC
rnacentral:lncRNA from 1 species